GUGGCCCAGCUCGGUGCCUGCGCGCGGUAGGCGUUCGGUAAAUUUUAUGUGCAAGGGGGUAGGAGGUGGGGAGAGCACCGUCGUUACUAUUAAAUCUCCCUGAAAGACGGAAAAGUCCACCCGACUUGACUUCCCACUAGCCCAAUGGCCUUCUUUGAUCCUAGGACGAAUGCAAGCAGCUGAUGGUUUGGGGUCAGUUUGCAGACUGCAAAUGUGUCGAGUGCCGCAGGUGGCGGGUGGGAAGGGCAUGAGCAUUUAGUGAGCACCUAGUAUAUGCCAGGAGCAGUUGCGAGCUUGCAACUGUGAGAAAGGCGCACCAGGCUCCAGUACUCACGGGGCUUGCAUUUUUUGUGGAAAGACAGACAAUAAAGAAGAGAAAAUACAUAUCUAUGCAAAAAAUAAAAGGCUGACAGACUGUUAGUACUGAGAGGAGGGCCAAGUCCACUUUCGAAAGUGGUUUAGCGCGUGAUGGGGCGCUCACCCUGAGGGCCUCUAGGCGAGGGUGGCUUUUACCCAGAUUCCUGAGCCUGGGAAAGGAGCUGCCACACCCAGUCUCGCACAGAGCGUUCCAGGCGAAGGGAAUAGCAAAUACAGGGUAUUUAGCCUCCCUGAAGACCCAACUAACCGACCUCACCGAGCUGGGCACCGCGCGUGGCUCGCUGGGCUCAGCGCCUGGGACGGAGUAAGGGCUCCACAGUGUUAAAUCCCCCUGCCAACCACCACCUGCAGCGCUCGACGCAUUUUCAGUCUCCAAACUGACCCCAAUUCAAGGUUUCUGAGACUCUUUCCGGAGCUAUUCUGUUCACAUUUCAUUCACCACGCUCAGAUCUUCGCUUUCUGGAACCAUCCCCCUCGCGAAAUGUCUGGGACUGUCUGUUUCGGAUCUGGCAGGCGGCGGGCGAGGGCGGGAGGCGCCAGAGAUGCUGCCGAGCAAAUCCACUGUCAUGCUGCCCACGUCGGCACACGGAGAAGCUUAUUGGAGAAGAUUUCAAAUCGAAUGACUCCGCGGUUCCUAAACCACCUCGCAAAGCCCGACCAGCGCCAGGUGGCUGGACGGGUAGUGGAAGGACGCGUCUGGCAGGCGCGCGGACCGUCCAAGGAGGCACCUUGCCCACGCCCAGCCCCGCCGUCGGAGCAGCUUAGACUGGGUUUUCCCAAACCUCCUUCCGUCUUUCUGUAAUUUCUCUCUGAGAGAGGCUUGCUCUGUCCUCCUCCUGCCAGUCCCUUUCCUCGUUCAAGCUAUUUUCUUUCUUUUUCUUUUGCUCUCCACCUUCAGCCUCUCCGCCUGUUUCUUUAGCAUUGGUUUUUCUGUAGGAGACAAGCCUUCAAUCCGAAAGGAAGUGAUUUGCAUAGGGCUUUGUUGUUUAGCAUCCCGUUCCGAGCUUUUUCAUUAAUGUCUUCCUAAUCAAAUAAUAAUAGAGUGUACAUUCUCUCUCUCUCUCUCUCUCUCUGUGUGUGUGUGUGUGUGUGUGUGUGUGUGUGUGUGUGUGUGUGUACUUGAGGCAGUUAAUUGGACAGGAUGAGAGAAUUAUUCACAUUGUGCCUUGUCUCCAAGUAAAGGAGGAAUCGUACUGUGGCUUUUCAUAGUUUCAUUUCCUCUUCUACUCCUAAAUAAACUUCCAGGCUCUCCAGCUCCUAAAAUCAAAAGGAAAAAAUAAAAAUAAAAGUU
rnacentral:lncRNA from 10 species